UCUAAGACCCUCUUCCCCACCUGGAACCAGAUGCUGCUGUUAAAUGACUUGGUGCUUUAUGGAGACCAGAGGAGUUGAUGGGGUCCCUGCCUUUAGUGGUGGUGGAGCUGUAUGACAACAAUGCAGUGGUUGGGAAUCUCUUCAGACUUGCCUUCUGCAAAUCACUGGGUAUGGAAACCUUACUGCAGAUGUGGAAAAACUGUGCAGAAAAUCCUGUGAUUCUGAUAAUGCCCAACGUGAAGAAAUGCUUUUGAAGGUUGGAAGACAUCCUCUUAGAGCCCAUAGCACAUCUGGGUUGUGAAUACCCAUGUACUUCUCAGUUUGGAGUUUCUCAGCACUGCAGACUACAAAGUAUGAGCAGAACCAGGACUCUCAGAUUGGUUCCCAAGGAACUUCCUUUGCUCCCAGACCAUGAAGUUCUCCCUCAUCUUGUCCCUCAGGAUUUGGUAUGUGUAGAUUCUCCCUGCACCAUGGUGUCCACUCCAACCUGGCAGCCAUUCACAAAUCCCUAUGAAAUAUCUCACAUAUAUCUUUGGAAAUAAUUUUGGUGAUGAAGUACAGCACAGUUUGUGUGAUGUUAAUAUACCCACCUCUUCUUUCUUAUGCUUCGUGUCCUCAAGAUAAGAUGUGAAAAUGUAGACUUGAACCCCUGAUGAGAUGGAAUGACCUGGAUCAUUCAACCGAGACAGAGGGAAGGCAUGCCACUGGCUGAAAUCCAAUUAGGUUAGACAUGAAAAUGAAAUAGCUACUGAUUUAGUCAGGGAGACUGGCAACAUCAUUUUAGCCGUAGGAGAGAUGAUGUUUGUGACAUUUGGUAUGAAACUUACUAAUAGUCUCUUCAGUUGAAGUAGUGAAUGAUGGUGCAAAAGAUAUGGCCAAGGAGGGUAACUGAAAAGGAAGUACAUCCCUAAGGUGGAGUCAAGAGCUGGCAAGAGUGAUGGACUUGGGUACCACUCUGUGGGAACAAAGCUGGGCCUAGUCAAGACCUAUCCUGGAGUAGGACGACCUGACAACAUCUACCCAGGAGAAUUUCAGAACUCAUAUGGUCCUCUGACUGCUACAUGUCUUCCACUUUUCCUCUUCUGUUUUAAAAUGAAGGGUUAAAGAAGAAAUAACUGGAAU